UGGGGAAUUUUGGACAAUGGGCGAAAGCCUGAUCCAGCAAUGCCGCGUGUGUGAAGAAGGCCUUCGGGUUGUAAAGCACUUUUGUCCGGAAAGAAAUCCUUGGCUCUAAUACAGUCGGGGGAUGACGGUACCGGAAGAAUAAGCACCGGCUAACUACGUGCCAGCAGCCGCGGUAAUACGUAGGGUGCAAGCGUUAAUCGGAAUUACUGGGCGUAAAGCGUGCGCAGGCGGUUUGCUAAGACCGAUGUGAAAUCCCCGGGCUCAACCUGGGAACUGCAUUGGUGACUGGCAGGCUAGAGUAUGGCAGAGGGGGGUAGAAUUCCACGUGUAGCAGUGAAAUGCGUAGAGAUGUGGAGGAAUACCGAUGGCGAAGGCAGCCCCCUGGGCCAAUACUGACGCUCAUGCACGAAAGCGUGGGGAGCAAACAGGAUUAGAUACCCUGGUAGUCCACGCCCUAAACGAUGUCAACUAGUUGUUGGGGAUUCAUUUCCUUAGUAACGUAGCUAACGCGUGAAGUUGACCGCCUGGGGAGCACGGUCGCAAGAUUAAAACUCAAAGGAAUUGACGGGGUCAUAGCUGUUUCC
rnacentral:rRNA from 1 species